CAGCCGCCGCGGUAAUACAGAGGGUGCGAGCGUUAAUCGGAUUUACUGGGCGUAAAGCGUGCGUAGGCGGCUUCUUAAGUCGGAUGUGAAAUCCCUGAGCUUAACUUAGGAAUUGCAUUCGAUACUGGGAAGCUAGAGUAUGGGAGAGGAUGGUAGAAUUCCAGGUGUAGCGGUGAAAUGCGUAGAGAUCUGGAGGAAUACCGAUGGCGAAGGCAGCCAUCUGGCCUAAUACUGACGCUGAGGUACGAAAGCAUGGGGAGCAAACAGGAUUAGAUACCCCCGUAGUCCUGUCUCUUAUACC
rnacentral:rRNA from 1 species